AGCCAUGCCGCGUGCAGGAAGACGGCCCUAUGGGUUGUAAACUGCUUUUAUACAGGAAGAAACACUCCCUCGUGAGGGAGCUUGACGGUACUGUAUGAAUAAGCACCGGCUAACUCCGUGCCAGCAGCCGCGGUAAUAAUCACU
rnacentral:rRNA from 1 species